rnacentral:rRNA from 1 species
UAGAAGUAGGGGAUAACACCUGGAAACAGAUGCUAAUACCGUAUAACAGAGAAAACCGCAUGGUUUUCUUUUAAAAGAUGGCUCUGCUAUCACUUCUGGAUGGACCCGCGGCGUAUUAGCUAGUUGGUGAGGUAAAGGCUCACCAAGGCAGUGAUACGUAGCCGACCUGAGAGGGUAAUCGGCCACAUUGGGACUGAGACACGGCCCAGACUCCUACGGGAGGCAGCAGUAGGGAAUCUUCCACAAUGGACGCAAGUCUGAUGGAGCAACGCCGCGUGAGUGAAGAAGGGUUUCGGCUCGUAAAGCUCUGUUGUUAAAGAAGAACGUGGGUAAGAGUAACUGUUUACCCAGUGACGGUAUUUAACCAGAAAGCCACGGCUAACUACGUGCCAGCAGCCGCGGUAAUACGUAGGUGGCAAGCGUUAUCCGGAUUUAUUGGGCGUAAAGCGAGCGCAGGCGGUCUUUUAAGUCUAAUGUGAAAGCCUUCGGCUCAACCGAAGAAGUGCAUUGGAAACUGGGAGACUUGAGUGCAGAAGAGGACAGUGGAACUCCAUGUGUAGCGGUGAAAUGCGUAGAUAUAUGGAAGAACACCAGUGGCGAAGGCGGCUGUCUGGUCUGCAACUGACGCUGAGGCUCGAAAGCAUGGGUAGCGAACAGGAUUAGAUACCCUGGUAGUCCAUGCCGUACACGAUGAUUACUAAGUGUUGGAGGGUUUCCGCCCUUCAGUGCUGCAGCUAACGCAUUAAGUAAUCCGCCUGGGGAGUACGACCGCAAGGUUGAAACUCAAAAGAAUUGACGGGGGCCCGCACAAGCGGUGGAGCAUGUGGUUUAAUUCGAAGCUACGCGAAGAACCUUACCAGGUCUUGACAUCUUCUGACAGUCUAAGAGAUUAGAGGUUCCCUUCGGGGACAGAAUGACAGGUGGUGCAUGGUUGUCGUCAGCUCGUGUCGUGAGAUGUUGGGUUAAGUCCCGCAACGAGCGCCACCCUUAUUACUAGUUGCCAGCAUUAAGGUGGGCCCUCCAAUUGAAACUG